rfam:Sus scrofa isolate TJ Tabasco breed Duroc chromosome 4, whole genome shotgun sequence.
UGCCUGCUUCUGUGUGAUAUGUUUGAUAUUGGGUUGUUUAAUUAGGAACCAACUAAAUGUCAAACAUAUUCUUACAGCAGUAGGCA